rnacentral:rRNA from 1 species
ACGAACGCUGGCGGCACGCUUAACACAUGCAAGUCGAACGAGAGAAGAGGAGCUUGCUUUUCUGAUCUAGUGGCGGACGGGUGAGUAACACGUGAGCAAUCUGCCUUUCAGAGGGGGAUACCGAUUGGAAACGAUCGUUAAUACCGCAUAACAUAAUUGAACCGCAUGAUUUGAUUAUCAAAGAUUUAUCGCUGAAAGAUGAGCUCGCGUCUGAUUAGCUAGUUGGUAAGGUAACGGCUUACCAAGGCGACGAUCAGUAGCCGGACUGAGAGGUUGAUCGGCCACAUUGGGACUGAGACACGGCCCAGACUCCUACGGGAGGCAGCAGUGGGGAAUAUUGCACAAUGGAGGAAACUCUGAUGCAGCGAUGCCGCGUGAGGGAAGAAGGUUUUAGGAUUGUAAACCUCUGUCUUCAGGGACGAAAAAAGACGGUACCUGAGGAGGAAGCUCCGGCUAACUACGUGCCAGCAGCCGCGGUAAUACGUAGGGAGCGAGCGUUGUCCGGAAUUACUGGGUGUAAAGGGAGCGUAGGCGGGAUCGCAAGUCAGAUGUGAAAACUAUGGGCUUAACCCAUAAACUGCAUUUGAAACUGUGGUUCUUGAGUGAAGUAGAGGUAAGCGGAAUUCCUAGUGUAGCGGUGAAAUGCGUAGAUAUUAGGAGGAACACCAGUGGCGAAGGCGGCCUGCUGGACUGUUACUGACACUGAGGCACGAAAGCGUGGGGAGCAAACAGGAUUAGAUACCCUGGUAGUCCACGCCGUAAACGAUGAUUACUAGGUGUGGGGGGACUGACCCCUUCCGUGCCGCAGCAAACGCAAUAAGUAAUCCACCUGGGGAGUACGACCGCAAGGUUGAAACUCAAAGGAAUUGACGGGGGCCCGCACAAGCAGUGGAGUAUGUGGAUUAAUUCGAAGCAACGCGAAGAACCUUACCAGGUCUUGACAUCGUAUGCAUAGCUCAGAGAUGAGUGAAAUCUCUUCGGAGACAUAUAGACAGGUGGUGCAUGGUUGUCGUCAGCUCGUGUCGUGAGAUGUUGGGUUAAGUCCCGCAACGAGCGCAACCCUUACUGUUAGUUGCUACGCAAGAGCACUCUAGCAGGACUGCCGUUGACAAAACGGAGGAAGGUGGGGAUGACGUCAAAUCAUCAUGCCCCUUAUGACCUGGGCCUCACACGUACUACAAUGGCUGUCAACAGAGGGAAGCAAAGCCGCGAGGUGGAGCGAACCCCUAAAAGCAGUCUUAGUUCGGAUUGUAGGCUGCAACCCGCCUACAUGAAGUCGGAAUUGCUAGUAAUCGCAGAUCAGCAUGCUGCGGUGAAUACGUUCCCGGGCCUUGUACACACCGCCCGUCACGCCAUGGGAGUCGGUAACACCCGAAGCCUGUAGUCUAACCGCAAGGAGGACGCAGUCGAAGGUGGGAUUGAUGACUGGGGUG